rnacentral:rRNA from 1 species
GAUGAACGCUAGCGGCAGGCUUAAUACAUGCAAGUCGAGGGGCAUCAAGGUACACGAAAGUGUAUUGUUGGCGACCGGCGGACGGGUGAGUAAUAGGUAGGUAACCUACCUCAUACUGAGGCAUAGCUGGGAGAAAUUCCAGGUAAUUCCUCAUGAGGUUAUAUGACACAUGUGAUAUAAUCAAAGGUAUCGCAAGGUACUGGUAUGAGAUGGGCUUACUGACCAUUAGCUAGUUGGUGAGAUAAGAGCUCACCAAGGCGAAGAUGGUUAGGGGUUUUGAGAGAGAGAUCCCCCACAUUGGAACUGAGAUACAGUCCAGACUCCUACGGGAGGCAGCAGUAGGGAAUAUUGGGCAAUGGGCGGAAGCCUGACCCAGCCAUGCCGCGUGAAGGAAGACGGCCUUAUGGGUUGUAAACUUCUUUACUAUGCGACUAACUAGAUUUACGAGAUAAUUCUAUAGAAUGUAGCAUAGCAAAAAGCACC